UUCCUGAUGACUGUGAGUUCAAGCGGGUA
rnacentral:piRNA from 1 species